rnacentral:lncRNA from 1 species
GACCUUUAGCUGAGGAAAAGCAGGUGAAGAUUUUUUCCCACAUUGUGGGUUGUCUCUUCACACUGCUGGUGGUUUCUCUUGCUGUGCAGAAGCCUUUUAAUAAGAAGAGAUCCCACUUGUUGAUUGUUUGUGCUAGUUCAUGGGCAACUGAGGUUUUGUUCAUAAAAUCUUUUCCUACACUGAUGUCUUCAAGGGUUCUACCUAACCUCUGUUCCAACUGUUUCAGAGUUUCUAUUUUAAUAUUUAUAUCUUUAAUCCAUUUGGAUUUUAGUUUAGUGCAUGGUGAGAGAUACAGGUCUAGUUUCACUCUUUGGCAAGUUGAAGCCCAAUUUAGGAGAAGGCAGUUUAGAUGGAGGAACAGUCUCAGUCUACUCGAUUAUCAGACAUUUGGCCCAUAUCUACUCUUCCUGAAGAUAGAGACGCUAAUGGAGAAGGAACAGUCCUUGGCCAGAAGGAGCUCACUUUGUGGUGGAAAAUGACCAACAGAGGAUAAAGUGCAUGAAUAAAGGGAUGGAUGACUGAAACGCCAGUGGUUUAGGCACAGAGAGUGAUGCUUGUGACCAGGGGAUGGUGGGGGGGCCAAGUCUUGGCUGGGCUAAGAUGCCACCAUUCCACUCUAAAGCCAAAAGAGGAGGCAAUUUCAGCUUGGGGAGGAAUGGAGUUGUGGCAUGCUCAGAUCACAAUUCGUGACCUGGCUGUGUGGCUGGUUACAUCUGUGUCUUCUGUCACCAAGGGGCAGGCAAGAUUGAACAGAAGACAGGCACACCAUGACAAAUUGGUCAUCCAGCUGAGCCCAGUCUAUGUUAUCCUUUUGUUAAAUGUCUAGUGGAUGGAUAAACAAGAUGUGCCAUAGCCAUACAAUGGAAUAUUAUUCAACUAAUACAAUAAAAAGAUACAUGCUACAAAAUGGAUGAACUUCAACAACACUAAGUGAAGUGAAAGGAGCCAGUCACAAAUGACCAUGUAUUGUGUAAUUCCAUUUAUAUGAAAUAUCCAGAAUAGGCAAAUACAUAGGACAGAUAGUAGAUUAGUGGUUGCCUUGAGUGGGUGUUGACUACUAAUGGGUACAAAUUUUCUUGCUGAGAUGAUGCAAGUGUUCUAAAAUUAGAUUGUGGUGAUGGUCAAACAACUCUUUAUUGUACUCUUUAAGUAAGUGAAUGAUAAUCUAAACUGCAUUUCAAUAAAG